UAUCGAUCCUUUAGACCUUCG
rnacentral:snRNA from 1 species